CCUACGGGAGGCAGCAGUGGGGAAUUUUCCGCAAUGGGCGAAAGCCUGACGGAGCAAUACCGCGUGAGGGAGGAAGGCUCUUGGGUUGUAAACCUCUUUUCUCAGGGAAGAAAAAAUGACGGUACCUGAGGAAUAAGCAUCGGCUAACUCUGUGCCAGCAGCCGCGGUAAUACAGAGGAUGCAAGCGUUAUCCGGAAUGAUUGGGCGUAAAGCGUCCGCAGGUGGUUUUGUGUGUCUGCUGUUAAAGAGUUAGGCUUAACCUAAUAAAGGCGGUAGAAACUACAAGACUAGAGUACGUUCGGGGCAGAGGGAAUUCCCAGUGUAGCGGUGAAAUGCGUAGAGAUUGGGAAGAACACCGGUGGCGAAAGCGCUCUGCUAGGCCUGUACUGACACUGAGGGACGAAAGCUAGGGGAGCGAAUGGGAUUAGAUACCCCAGUAGUCCUAGCCGUAAACGAUGGAUACUAGGCGUUGUCUGUAUCGACCCGGACAGUGCCGUAGCUAACGCGUUAAGUAUCCCGCCUGGGGAGUACGCNGCACUGUGAACUACAAGAAGUAGACGGCGUGAGACGNGCCGACGGACGACGACGAGGGAGUAGG
rnacentral:rRNA from 1 species